UACGUAGGGUGCGAGCGUUGUCCGGAAUUAUUGGGCGUAAAGAGCUCGUAGGCGGUCUGUCGCGUCGAUCGUGAAAACUUGGGGCUUAACCCUGAGCUUGCGGUCGAUACGGGCAUGACUGGAGUACGGCAGGGGAGACUGGAAUUCCUGGUGUAGCGGUGAAAUGCGCAGAUAUCAGGAGGAACACCGGUGGCGAAGGCGGGUCUCUGGGCCGAUACUGACGCUGAGGAGCGAAAGCGUGGGGAGCGAACAGG
rnacentral:rRNA from 1 species